AUGAGAACAUCCUCAUAUGAGAAUCAAAGGAUAACAGGUUCACGAAGAAACCUACCCAUGGACUUGGGUUUAACUGGCCUUGUGUCCUACCCAAUGCAGCUCUCCAGCUUCUCCCCACAAAGUUCCAGGCCUCCUCUCCUGGGAUCUCUUAUUCCCACUGAAAGCAGGAUACGGAGUGUGAGGGCCCCAGACCUGGGGCAUGUACACAUCCUGCGAUGGGAGCCUGAGCCCGCACAGGGGAAGAAGUGGAAUAGCCAGGCUGCAGAUUCCCAGACAACGAGGGCCCCUGUGCUCUCCAGGGCCCUCCUGAGGCUGCACCUUUUGAGACUCUCCACCAUUCAAGGGGCCCUUGGUGGUUGGGAUAGGAACAAGCGGAAGAGGAUCCAGUGCAUUCCACCUCUGGCCACCUCUGUGAGAGGAGCCGCCGCCAGUUCUGCGCAUCUGCAAUGGAUGGUCACGUGGAACUGCUCCGGUUUCCUGAUCAAGAGGAAUAAGCAGACCUACAGCAACGAGCCCAGUAACCUGAAGGCCCGCAACUCCUUCCACUACAAUGGGCUGAUUCGCCGCAAGACUGUGGUCGUGGAGCCGGCAGCCGAUGGCAAAGAUGUCCUGGUGGUCACAAAGUGGAGAUCAGGCCAGUGGACGCCCGCUACCUCCUAUGUGUGGACCACCAUCAGCAAGAAUGCUUGUGCCAAACUCAGCAGCAUCAGACGCAAGAUCUGCAAGAACAAGUACCCGCCCCCAACCUGCGCAUGGCUGCCCAUCAGCAGGGCCAGCGCCAUCCUGCACAGCCAGAAGCCUGUGAUGGUGAAGAGGAAGCAGAUCUGCCCCACCAAGAGCUCCUGAGCCCCCGUCCCUAAGAAAUAGCUGGCUUUCUCACCCAAAAGAAGAGGAAGAAGGAGGGGGAGAAGAGAAGGAUAAAGGAGGAAGAAGAAGAAGAGGAGGAUCCAGUGUCCUGAAUAAAACUCAAGAAGACUUCUACUAUUUGCUCUGAUUUGUAAUCCCCUAGGCAUAAGUCAGAAAUAAUAUGAGUGUCCCACCACCAUGAAAGCCCUUUGCAGUGUUUAGAAAAUCUGUGCUGUCCAACAUGGCAGCCACAAGCCACAUGUGCCUAUUGAGCACUUAAAAAUGGCUCAUUGACAGCCAAGGCAGCAGGCAGAGGAGCAGGGGAUGGGUGGACAAAUUAGGAUCCAGAGAGUGGCCGGGCCCACAGAGCAGAGGGCCACGGACAUCAGGUCUGUUCUCAGAGUGAUGGGCCACGGAGACUGAUCUGCCUCCAUGAUUGGAGGCUUAUUCAUCUAUAAUCACAAGGGGGAGGUGCUCAUCUCCCCAGUCUACCGAGAUGACAUCCAGAGGAAUGCCAUGGACGCCUUUUGCAUCAAUGUUAUCCAUGCCCGGCAGCAGGUGCACAGCCCCAUCACCAACAUUGCUCACACCAGCUUCUUCCAUGUCAAGCGAUCCAACAUCUGGCUGGCAGCAGUCACCAAGCAGAACGUCAAUGCUGCCAUAGUCUUUGAAUUCCUCUAUAAGAUGUGUGACGUGAUGGCUGCCUACUUUAGCAAGAUCAGCCAGGAAAACAUCAAGAAAAAUUUUGUGCUCAUAUAUGAGCUGCUGGAUGAGAUUCUAGACUUUGGCUACCCACAGAAUUCCGAGACAGGCAUGCUGAAAACCUUCAUCACCCAGCACGGCAUCAAGAGUCAGUAUCAGACAAAA